CCCGAACCCCGGCGGUCGGUGACGCGAGUGGGUAGUUGGCCGAACGGGCGCAGGGCGAAAGUGCCAGCCGGAGUGGCGGCCGGCGUGCGCAUCGCCGCCGGAGAGAGGCGCGGCACUUGGAUGUGGUCACAUCAUGUUUGAACUAUCUUGGGGCUGAGUUAACGGAGUUUUGUCCUCCUUGUGAAGAAUUCUAAUUUGGCAAGUGGAUUAAAAUCAUCUCAUGAGGAAUUACUUGCCAAAGCAUCAAUGUUUAUCCUGAAGAAGCGAAAACGAAGGAGUUUGUGUCUCCAAUAUUUGAAAAACUCAUCUGGAAGUGGAAGAAGACUUCAUCUAUGUUGCCUUAAAGGAAGAUCUUACAGUGUAGUUGAGGAGCGUGAAAGGGAAGCAAUGCAGAAAUCAGAGUGCCACGGAGGCGUUCAGCUGAGAAACAGAGGGGCAGAUAACUGUGAUCAAAGGACAUCAUCGAGCAUACAAAUAAAACAUAGGACUACAGUUCAACAAGGCAAAUCCUCAUCAUCAACCAGUUCUCCAGAGUCCGCAAGAAAAUUUCAUCCUCGACCAAGUGAUAAACUUAACCCUAAGACAAUUAACCCGUUUGGUGAACAGUCCCGAGCCCCUUCUGCAUUUGCGGCUAUUUACUCUAAAGGAGGUAUUCCUUGCAGAUUGGUCCAUGGUUCAGUGAAACACAGAUUGCAGUGGGAAUGUCCUCCUGAAAAUCUUCCAUUUGAUCCUCUUCUUAUUACUUUAGCAGAGGGUUUGAGAGAGACUAAACAUCCAUACACCUUCGUGUCAAAGGAGGGAUUUAGAGAAUUACUUUUGGUCCAGGGAGCUCCUGAAAAAGCUGUGCCUUUGCUUCCAAGACUGGUUCCUGUGCUAAAGGCGGCUCUGGUACACUUGGAUGAUGACGUGUUUGCAAGAGGUCUGAAUGCUCUCGUGCAGCUAAGUGUCGUCGUUGGUCCUUCUCUGAAUGACCAUCUGAAACAUCUGCUGACAAGUCUUUCCAAGAGACUGAGGGAUAAGAAAUUCAAAGAGCCCAUCACCAGUGCAUUACAGAAGCUAGAGCAGCAUGGUGGGAGUGGAAGUCUUAUCAUCAUCAAAUCUAAAAUUCCAACAUAUUGUUCCAUAUGCUGUUGAAGAAAGGAGCCCACAAAAAUCUCCUUACUUCCUGGUGACAGGUGUGAAAUGCUGGCCAUGGGCACCUAUGGCAUAGCCCUCAGUGAUGGUGUUGUAGAUGCUGACCCUGGAUCGCUCUACAAGAGAAAGGAAUGGAGUGAGAAAUAGAAAACCAGAGUACGACUUCCCAUCCUGAGGGCAAGAAGAGGCUGUGGGGACAUGAGUAGCCACCACACCGAAUCCAAAGCAGAUUUUCUUUGGGAGGGAUGAAGAUUGGGGAUCACUCCUUUCUGCAGGAGCAGCCGUCUUCGGUCUCAGCAGCAUCGGAGACCACCCUCUCGCUCCUUCUCUCAAAUACACGGAGUGACCUCUUUGCAGUUCUCACCUCAGAUACAGUCUCACAGCUGGGAUGUCAAGGAACACAAGUAAUUUCUAAGGAGUCGUAAGUGCAGAAAUGCCCAUCGCCCCUCAGAGCUCUGGUCCUUCCCAGUUCCCCCGUCUGGGAUACUCUUUCCUCAGGUCUCUGCUCCCGUCAUGUCCGCGGACCACAUGAGCUAAAACACCCGCCGGCCCACUGGUCUUGCUUUUACUCUUCUUCAUCGCACCCAGCCCCACCCUGAGGCAAACGUGCACACGACCCGACAGUGCCAAAAGAAGGACAUGAUAUUUUCAAUCUGGUACUUAACGCUUGUUGGAAUAAAUACCUGCAACAUGGACAGUAGAGUUAGAAACAUUUUAUUCGCUUUUAGUUUUCCUUUUGAAAUACAAAAUGUGCACAUUGAGUUUACACAAACACGCGAUGGCGGAUUUCAGUGUACAUGUACUGUACUACUCUGAAUGUCUACACUGGUGAUAGCAGGGCGGCUCUCAACAUCCUAUCUCUACACCAGAAUAGAUACCUGAUUUAGUGUUGCAAGGACAGUCGCUAAUUUCCUCCCACUGUAGCCUCUCGGUCUUUGUGGUAUUUCUGCAAAGUAGGGAAAGUGUGUGUAUCCUAAGUGAUGUUGUGGCCACUUGACAAUUUUGGCUUAAGAUCAUUGAAGAGAAUCUGAAUUGCUGGAGUGUUACGAUGAGCUAAAUCAUAAGACAGUCCAGAUGAAUUGCUUAGCAUUUAUUUUCAUCUUUAACGAAGUUUUGGUAUGGUAGUUAUUGAUAAAAUGGAGUCACUGAUGCUUUCAAAGUGAAUUCUGCUUGCUCUUUGUUCCCUGUAGGCCUUGGGGUAGUCCAGGUUUCUUUGUCCCUGAAUGGCAUGUAAUAGAAAGGUGUCUUGAAGGAGUCAAGGGAGAGGGGAUGGAGUAGGCCCUCAAUGCUGUUAGGGAUUACUUGUUACUAAGCAUUACCAUGUAACUCGAGGACAGAUACCCUGACCCUUUGCAUGUGCCUAUAAACAUCCUUGCUUUGUUCCACACCUUCACGGACUUCCACUUAGUGACAAGAUAGAAAAUAGUCCACCUGUAGGAUUGAACAAAUCCAAAAUUAUAUAUAUCAUGUAGGCCUUGGCUAUAAUAUGUAUUAUGAAAAAUUAAGAAAUGCUUAUUAAAUAAGCUUUGUUAGGCAUAUGCUGACAUCUGGUGAUAAACUAAUUUGUUUCAUGU